rnacentral:rRNA from 1 species
AUACCCAGAACUCUGCGCGCGUACGUUUGGCUCCUGUCUGCGUAUGGGGGGAUGGCAGCCAUCAGUUUUUUGCAUUUAUUUAGCUUCCCCUCCUUUCCUUUUUAAUACGUCAUGAUUGAUUUUUUUAUUGAGAUAGAAAGCCAUGCAUAAACUCAGCAACUACGUAAUCUAGUCUGCCCAUCGGCUCAGGGUUAACGGGCUCGCAGUCAUUUGACUGUACGAGGGUGCCAUAAUCAUUAGUCUUUUAAUUGAAGACUUGUAUGAGGGAUUUGAUGAGAUAUAAACUGUCUCUAAUUUAAUAAUAUAAUUUAAUUUUUUAGUUAAAAAACUAAAAUAAUUUUAAAAGACGAUAAGACCCUAUAGAGUUUAAUGGUUGAAAAUGAAAAUAUUUCUAUAAAAUCUAAUUACUCUAUUUUAAAAAUUAUUUUAUUGGGGGGAUAAAACUGUACGAGGGUGCCAUAAUCAUUAGUCUUUUAAUUGAAGACUUGUAUGAGGGAUUU